rnacentral:rRNA from 1 species
GGGAAUUUUCCGCAAUGGGCGAAAGCCUGACGGAGCAAGACCGCGUGAGGGAUGAAGGCCUUUGGGUUGUAAACCUCUUUUCUCAGGGAAGAAUACAAUGACGGUACCUGAGGAAUAAGCCUCGGCUAACUCCGUGCCAGCAGCCGCGGUAAGACGGAGGAGGCAAGCGUUAUCCGGAAUCACUGGGCGUAAAGCGUCCGCAGGUGGCUUUCCAAGUCUGCCGUCAAAGCCCGAGGCUUAACCUCGGAUCGGCGGUGGAAAUUGGAUCGCUAGAGCGCGUCAGGGGUAGGCGGACAUGUCCUCGUGUAGAGUUGUCCGCAAUGGGAUAGAUACCCCAGUAGUC